UCAAAGUUUUGUUUCCAAUUUAUUGGGUGCCAGUAUGGUUGAUAUUACAUACAACAGUAGAAUUGUUAUUGUUAAAAUGUCUUGAUUUGGAGAAUUAUGUGCCGGAUUCGUAUGUUUAAUUAAUUAAAACAUCCAAGACUGUCUUUCGCCUGUGACUGUAACAGAACAAUUAGUCACAACCAAUACUCAACAGUGCAUAGUUUUGUAAACAGUCGUAAAAUUUAUUAUCAUACAUAGACAUAGUGCUAAAAUUUGUAAUUACAGUACAAAAAAAUAUGUAAUGACGGUGCAAAAAUUGAGAUUAAUAAUUCUGGUGAAAUGGUUAAGCCGGUUUUCCACUAGGCGGAAUUUUGCGCGCGAAGCGGAAUUUUUUGUCUUUUCGGCUUAGUCACAUUAAAUCACAAGACAAAGAAAAAAUCCGUUCCGCGCGCAAAAUUCCGCUACUAACUUCUCGAAACGUCGAAGUGCUGCUUAAUAUAUUUUUCAGGUAGUUGCAUAUCCUGCAGUGCAGUUGUUGGAAGUUCUCACGUUAUUUCAGGUGUUGAUGCAAUCUGCGUUCAAUAACUAUAGAGACCUUACGAUGUAGGACAGCAACGCAACGACGACGGCCAGAAUAAAAUCAUUCAGAUAAACGAUGUAAAGAAAGUUUGUAGACUAUUAUUGCUCAUAUCAAUUUAAUACUGUUUGGUUAGCUUCAAAUAGUGGUUUAUUGUUGAGAAAGUUCUACCAUAGUAUUCUGAGCUAAUUUUCCGAGUAUCACUACAGGCGUUUUAUCCAAGAUGUAUAAAAGUUUCCCGUUGCAAACUGAUCGUGGACGACGUCUCAAACUCCCGUGGGAUAUUAAUUAUUAUUCUUUUUUUCUUAAAUAUUAUGAAUCUCAUUGUAUGAAUUAAUGAAUAGCCAUAGUCGUCACGUUGCCGCCCCACAUCGUAACGUCUCCCUUUUUGGACCGAACUUCAGUCCAAGAACAGUUAUCGCACGAUGUAGAGCUGGUCAUCUGCAGUUUGCAUAAAAGCCCGCGAACAUUUAAGAGCCGAAACAAAAUGAACUCGCUUAUUUAAAAGAAGAGAAACUGUCAAAAUUAGUGUCACGAAAAGACGGCGACAGCCGCACUAAAAAAGUCACGUGACAAUGUAAAGUAUUUGUUACGGUAUUAGAGAGUUUAAGCUUCGCGUUAUACGUUAUACGUCAAACGGCAAACGCCAGGCAAAGAAAAAUUCGAUAUCAGGCAAUAGAAAGUAAAUGAACUGUUUUAAAACUGCAAUGCAUGAUUAUUCUUUCGACACGAACAUUUUGCCAAGAA